GGGGAAUCCUGCACAAUGGGGGAAACCCUGAUGCAGCAACGCCGCGUGAGUGAUGACGGUCUUCGGAUUGUAAAGCUCUGUCUUCAGGGACGAUAAUGACGGUACCUGAGGAGGAAGCCCCGGCUAACUACGUGCCAGCAGCCGCGGUAAUACGUAGGGGGCAAGCGUUGUCCGGAUUUACUGGGUGUAAAGGGUGCUCAGGCGGAUUUGUAAGUCAGAGGUGAAAUCUUACAGCUUAACUGUGAAACUGCCUUUGAUACUGCAAGCCUAGAGUAUGGAAGAGAGUGAUGGAAUAUCUGGUGUAGCAGUGAAAUGCGUAGAUAUCAGAUAGAACACCAAUGGCGAAGGCAGUCACUUGGUCCAUUACUGACGCUAAAGCACGAAAGCGUGGGUAGCAAACA
rnacentral:rRNA from 1 species